rnacentral:rRNA from 1 species
CGAUGAUAGCUUGCUAUCAGGCGUCGAGCGGCGGACGGGUGAGUAAUACUUAGGAAUCUACCUAGUAGUGGGGGAUAGCACGGGGAAACUCGUAUUAAUACCGCAUACGACCUACGGGAGAAAGGGGGCAGUUUACUGCUCUCGCUAUUAGAUGAGCCUAAGUCGGAUUAGCUAGAUGGUGGGGUAAAGGCCUACCAUGGCGACGAUCUGUAGCUGGUCUGAGAGGAUGAUCAGCCACACCGGGACUGAGACACGGCCCGGACUCCUACGGGAGGCAGCAGUGGGGAAUAUUGGACAAUGGGGGAAACCCUGAUCCAGCCAUGCCGCGUGUGUGAAGAAGGCCUUUUGGUUGUAAAGCACUUUAAGCAGUGAAGAAGACUCCGUGGUUAAUACCCACGGACGAUGACAUUAGCUGCAGAAUAAGCACCGGCUAACUCUGUGCCAGCAGCCGCGGUAAUACAGAGGGGUGCAAGCGUUAAUCGGAAUUACUGGGCGUAAAGGGAGCGUAGGUGGCUCGAUAAGUCAGAUGUGAAAUCCCCGGGCUCAACCUGGGAACUGCAUCUGAUACUGUUGAGCUAGAGUAUGUGAGAGGAAGGUAGAAUUCCAGGUGUAGCGGUGAAAUGCGUAGAGAUCUGGAGGAAUACCGAUGGCGAAGGCAGCCUUCUGGCAUAAUACUGACACUGAGGCUCGAAAGCGUGGGUAGCAAACAGGAUUAGAUACCCUGGUAGUCCACGCCGUAAACGAUGUCUACUAGUCGUUGGGUCCCUUGAGGACUUAGUGACGCAGCUAACGCAAUAAGUAGACCGCCUGGGGAGUACGGCCGCAAGGUUAAAACUCAAAUGAAUUGACGGGGGCCCGCACAAGCGGUGGGAGCAUGUGGUUUUAAUUCGAUGCAACGCGAAGAACCUUACCUGGUCUUGACAUAUCUAGAAUCCUGCAGAGAUGCGGGAGUGCCUUCGGGAAUUAGAAUACAGGUGCUGCAUGGCUGUCGUCAGCUCGUGUCGUGAGAUGUUGGGUUAAGUCCCGCAACGAGCGCAACCCUUGUCCUUAGUUACCAGCGGGUUAAGCCGGGAACUCUAAGGAUACUGCCAGUGACAAACUGGAGGAAGGCGGGGACGACGUCAAGUCAUCAUGGCCCUUACGACCAGGGCUACACACGUGCUACAAUGGUAGGUACAGAGGGCAGCUACACAGCGAUGUGAUGCGAAUCUCAAAAAGCCUAUCGUAGUCCAGAUUGGAGUCUGCAACUCGACUCCAUGAAGUAGGAAUCGCUAGUAAUCGCGGAUCAGAAUGCCGCGGUGAAUACGUUCCCGGGCCUUGUACACACCGCCCGUCACACCAUGGGAGUUGAUUGCACCAGAAGUGGAUAGCUUAACCU